AUUGCUUCUCGGCCUUUUGGCUAAGAUCAAGUGUAGCUCUUGCUUUGCGGUAACUGCUGAAAAUUAUACACUAUGAUAUGUAUAUAUAUUUUAAUGUGUGUUAUAUAUUAUAAUGUGCCUGACUUUGUAUUAUAAUAUGAAUAUGU
rnacentral:snRNA from 1 species